GCACCCAUAGCUCAGCUGAAUAGAGCGUUGGUUUCCGGAGCCAAAGGUCAGAGGUUUGAAUCCUCUUGGGUGCACCA
rnacentral:tRNA from 1 species